GAUGAACGCUAGCUACAGGCUUAACACAUGCAAGUCGAGGGACAGCAUGGUCUUAGCUUGCUAAGGCCGAUGGCGACCGGCGCACGGGUGAGUAACACGUAUCCAACCUGCCGUCUACUCUUGGACAGCCUUCUGAAAGGAAGAUUAAUACAAGAUGGCAUCAUGAGUUCACUUGUUCACAUGAUUAAAGGUAUUCCGGUAGACGAUGGGGAUGCGUUCCAUUAGAUAGUAGGCGGGGUAACGGCCCACCUAGUCUUCGCUGGAGAGGGGUUCUGAGAGGAAGGUACCCCAGAUUGGAACUGAGACACGGUCCAAACUCGUACGCGAGGCAGCAGUGAGGAAUAUUGGUGAAUGGGCGAGAGCCUGAACCAGCCAAGUAGCGUGAAGGAUGACUGCCCUAUGAGUUGUAAACUUCUUUUAAAAAGGAAUAAAGUCAGGUAUGUAUACCCGCUUGCAUGUACUUUAUCAAUAAGGAUCGGCUAACUACGUG
rnacentral:rRNA from 1 species